UACGAAGGGUGCAAGCGUUACUCGGAAUUACUGGGCGUAAAGCGUGCGUAGGUGGUUUUUUAAGUCCGUUGUGAAAGCCCUGGGCUCAACCUGGGAAUGGCAGUGGAUACUGGAAAGCUAGAGUGCGGUAGAGGGUAGUGGAAUUCCCGGUGUAGCAGUGAAAUGCGUAGAGAUCGGGAGGAACACCAGUGGCGAAGGCGGCUACCUGGACCAGCACUGACACUGAAGCACGAAAGCGUGGGGAGCAAACAGG
rnacentral:rRNA from 1 species